rnacentral:rRNA from 1 species
GCGAACGGGUGAGUAACACGUGGGUGAUCUGCCCCUGACUUUGGGAUAAGCCUGGGAAACUGGGUCUAAUACCGGAUAGGACCCCUGGUUGCAUGACUGGGGGUGGAAAGCUUUUGCGGUUGGGGAUGGGCCCGCGGCCUAUCAGCUUGUUGGUGGGGUAAUGGCCUACCAAGGCGACGACGGGUAGCCGACCUGAGAGGGUGAUCGGCCACACUGGGACUGAGACACGGCCCAGACUCCUACGGGAGGCAGCAGUGGGGAAUAUUGCACAAUGGGCGCAAGCCUGAUGCAGCGACGCCGCGUGAGGGAUGACGGCCUUCGGGUUGUAAACCUCUUUCACCAGGGACGAAGCUUUUGUGACGGUACCUGGAGAAGAAGCACCGGCCAACUACGUGCCAGCAGCCGCGGUAAUACGUAGGGUGCGAGCGUUGUCCGGAAUUACUGGGCGUAAAGAGCUCGUAGGCGGUUUGUCGCGUCGUCUGUGAAAUUCUGCAGCUUAACUGCAGGCGUGCAGGCGAUACGGGCAGACUUGAGUACUACAGGGGAGACUGGAAUUCCUGGUGUAGCGGUGAAAUGCGCAGAUAUCAGGAGGAACACCGGUGGCGAAGGCGGGUCUCUGGGUAGUAACUGACGCUGAGGACCGAAAGCGUGGGUAGCGAACAGGAUUAGAUACCCUGGUAGUCCACGCCGUAAACGGUGGGUACUAGGUGUGGGGCUCAUUUCACGAGUUCCGUGCCGUAGCUCACGCAUUAAGUACCCCGCCUGGGGAGUACGGC